ACUCACGGGCUGUAUCAGGAGAAGAUGAGACUUCCUGUGCAUCUGAACGCACACAUGCGGUGCAGCAAGGCUUCUGGUUGUUGGGCACAGGCACCAAGAUCUGAAAAGGCCACAGUCCCUCAGGUUCAUCACUCUGUCUGCUUCUGUGUUCAAUACCAAAAAUUUUAUUUUGGAUACAAAGAAAUAAGGCUUGAUGAGGACAAUUCACUUCACAAAGGAAGACUCACAAGUUUUAUCCAGAGAAAAGAAGAGUUCAUGAUCAUCGAGUUCAUCCUGGUGACAUAAAGAAUGCAGCUAAACCAAUUAGAAUCUACUGUAUAGUCCCAGGGGUGCUGUCAGAGGUGCAGAGAGGUGGUCCUAUAAGGUAAGGGACACAAAGCACUGUCUACAAAUAGAAAAUCAUUGUGCAGGAACCACCUGCAUGAGGGCAGGACACAGGAGGCAAUGCACAGUGCACUGGCUGGAAAAUGAGCUGAUGGAAAAGGAGUCUAAGACUGCUGCAUCAUUGAACCAUGACACCCAGGUCACA